AACGAACGCUGGCGGCAUGCCUAACACAUGCAAGUCGAACGAGACCUUCGGGUCUAGUGGCGCACGGGUGCGUAACGCGUGGGAACCUGCCUUCAGGUUCGGAAUAACUCAGAGAAAUUUGAGCUAAUACCGGAUAAUGUCUUCGGACCAAAGAUUUAUCGCCUUUAGAUGGGGCCGCGUUGGAUUAGCUAGUUGGUGGGGUAAAGGCCUACCAAGGCGACGAUCCAUAGCUGUUCUGAGAGGAUGAUCAGCCACACUGGGACUGAGACACGGCCCAGACUCCUACGAGAGGCAGCAGUGGGGAAUAUUGGACAAUGGGCGAAAGCCUGAUCCAGCAAUGCCGCGUGAGUGAUGAAGGCCUUAGGGUUGUAAAGCUCUUUUACCCGAGAUGAUAAUGACAGUAUCGGGAGAAUAAGCUCCGGCUAACUCCGUGCCAGCAGCCGCCGUAA
rnacentral:rRNA from 1 species